CGCAAGAGGGGGACAGUGGCGAAAGGGAGAGUAAUACGCGGGUACCUACCUCGGGGUUCAGGAUAGCGGCGGGAAACUGCCAUUAAUACUGAAUAAUGUCUACGGACCAAAGGUGUGAUUCCACCUCGAGACGGGCCCACGUCCUAUCAGCUAGUUGGUGGGGUAAUGGCCUACCAAGGCAAUGACGGGUAUGGGGCGUGAGAGCGUGCCCCCACUCACUGGGACUGAGACACUGCCCAGACACCUACGGGUGGCUGCAGUCGAGAAUCUUCGGCAAUGGGCGAAAGCCUGACCGAGCGAUGCCGCGUGCGGGAUGAAGGCCCUCGGGUUGUAAACCGCUGUCGUAGGGGAGGAAGGCUCUGUGAAGAACAGGGUUUGACCGAUCCUAGGAGGAAGUGGAGGCUAACCUCGUGCCAGCAGCCGCGGUAAGACGAGGUCCACAAACGUUAUUCGGAAUUACUGGGCUUAAAGCGUGCGUAGGCGGCCUAGCAAGUCAGGUGUGAAAGCCCUCGGCUCAACCGAGGAA
rnacentral:rRNA from 1 species